GGCAUCCUUACACAUGCAAGUCGAACGGCAGCGCGGGAGCAAUCCUGGCGGCGAGUGGCGAACGGGUGAGUAAUACAUCGGAACGUGCCCAAUCGUGGGGGAUAACGCAGCGAAAGCUGUGCUAAUACCGCAUACGAUCUACGGAUGAAAGCAGGGGAUCGCAAGACCUUGCGCGAAUGGAGCGGCCGAUGGCAGAUUAGGUAGUUGGUGGGGUAAAGGCUCACCAAGCCUUCGAUCUGUAGCUGGUCUGAGAGGACGACCAGCCACACUGGGACUGAGACACGGCCCAGACUCCUACGGGAGGCAGCAGUGGGGAAUUUUGGACAAUGGGCGCAAGCCUGAUCCAGCCAUGCCGCGUGCAGGAUGAAGGCCUUCGGGUUGUAAACUGCUUUUGUACGGAACGAAAAGUCUCUUUCUAAUAAAGAGGGAUCAUGACGGUACCGUAAGAAUAAGCACCGGCUAACUACGUGCCAGCAGCCGCGGUAAUACGUAGGGUGCAAGCGUUAAUCGGAAUUACUGGGCGUAAAGCGUGCGCAGGCGGUUAUGUAAGACAGUUGUGAAAUCCCCGGGCUCAACCUGGGAACUGCAUCUGUGACUGCAUAGCUAGAGUACGGUAGAGGGGGAUGGAAUUCCGCGUGUAGCAGUGAAAUGCGUAGAUAUGCGGAGGAACACCGAUGGCGAAGGCAAUCCCCUGGACCUGUACUGACGCUCAUGCACGAAAGCGUGGGGAGCAAACAGGAUUAGAUACCCUGGUAGUCCACGCCCUAAACGAUGUCAACUGGUUGUUGGGUCUUCACUGACUCAGUAACGAAGCUAACGCGUGAAGUUGACCGCCUGG
rnacentral:rRNA from 1 species